UAACACAUGCAAGUCGAACGAGACCUUCGGGUCUAGUGGCGCACGGGUGCGUAACGCGUGGGAACCUGCCCCUCGGUUCGGAAUAACACAGAGAAAUUUGUGCUAAUACCGGAUGAUGACUUCGGUCCAAAGAUUUAUCGCCGAGGGAUGGGCCCGCGUAGGAUUAGCUUGUUGGUGGGGUAAUGGCCUACCAAGGCGACGAUCCUUAGCUGGUCUGAGAGGAUGAUCAGCCACACUGGGACUGAGACACGGCCCAGACUCCUACGGGAGGCAGCAGUGGGGAAUAUUGGACAAUGGGCGAAAGCCUGAUCCAGCAAUGCCGCGUGAGUGAUGAAGGCCUUAGGGUUGUAAAGCUCUUUUACCAGGGAUGAUAAUGACAGUACCUGGAGAGUAAGCUCCGGCUAACUCCGUGCCAGCAGCCGCGGUAAUACGGAGGGAGCUAGCGUUGUUCGGAAUUACUGGGCGUAAAGCGCGCGUAGGCGGCUAUUCAAGUCAGAGGUGAAAGCCCGGGGCUCAACCCCGGAACUGCCUUUGAAACUAGGUAGCUAGAAUCUUGGAGAGGUCAGUGGAAUUCCGAGUGUAGAGGUGAAAUUCGUAGAUAUUCGGAAGAACACCAGUGGCGAAGGCGACUGACUGGACAAGUAUUGACGCUGGGGUGCG
rnacentral:rRNA from 1 species